rnacentral:lncRNA from 1 species
CUGGGGGGUGGGGUGGGGCACCACAGCAGUGACCAGAGCCACAGCAGUGAUGACACUGGAUCUUUAACCCCCUGAACCACCAGGGAACCCAUAUUCUCCCUUUUCUUAUGAUCCCCUUUCACCUCCACUUCCCUUCUUCAUGGAAUAAUCCCUCCCCAUCUUCGAGACUCAGAUCUAACUUACUCCUGAAAAUAUUUUUACACUCCCCCCACCUCAGCCAAAGUCUCUCCUCUAUGAUUCUGCAGCAUCCCAUGCACAUUUGGCAGCACAUACUUCAUCACAAUGAUCCACGUGUAACUCUGGCUCUUGUAGCAGAUGAACUGGAAAGCAGCAACUCCACCUAACUUCUAGUGGUGGUGAACAGACCUUGGCAGAAUUGAACUGAAUGUCUAUUGUGGAAAAGGUGAAAGGACUUUGACCAACCACCAACGCAUACUGAGCUCCUAUUAAGGGCCAAGCAGUGAGGCAAUGGGCUAAGUUAGCUAAUAUCAGAGGCGAAGUGAGUAGAAACUCGUCGCAAUAAUGGAACAACUUUUAAACGACUAUAUGUGCUUGGAAACAGUAUAGAACACACAUUGGAAAGUGUGUUCGCCAUCACUGAAAGUGCUAGGAAUACUAUAUAAAAAUUGUCAUAGUUGGGAGGCUGUAUUAGAACGUGAGGUACUUUCUAAGAUCCCUUCCAACACUGAGAUUCUAGAGUCUCUUCUGCUUGACCUCUUCUUGUCAAAGAUGAGAAAAAUGUCCAUUUGCAUCUUUUAAUAACAGCAAUAGCUUCAGAGUUCUACACUUGGUUAAAACAAAUGUACUCAGAGAUUUUCCCGCAGACUGUCAGGAUAAAGCCAGAAAACAAAUUGCUAAAAUGUGAGCUAGUAUCUAGUACUUCUAAUUCCCUUAACUAAGAAGGUAAAAGCAUUUCCUGGGCAAUUUCUGUAUACAUGUAUGUGCAUGAUACAUGGAUGUGCAAACAUGCAGCUGUAUGUUUGUCUAAGUGGGUUCUAUUAUCAGAAAUUACAGGAGAGAAAACAGUGAACACUGACAAGGUACUCUUGCGCUAUCAUGAAACAGUGGCCACACUUAAGAACAAAUAAAAGGAAUGAAUGCAUUUUGUGCCAGGCAACACUAAGUUGAAUAAAUGUUAGCAUUUAAUGACAUGCAACAAAACAAGAAUAAAACUGGCCUUUGUUCACAUGAAAUAUUGACUCAGGAUGCAGGGAAGAAAAAGUACAGACUGUAAAACCCUCACAGAUGCAGCAGUAUGUGGGCAAUGUGUGGGCGGCACAGCUGGUAAUAAGCAAGUACUGUGUGCCCAGUCUCCUGAGCUGGGACCAGUCAGCGAUCUACACUUGUCUGUUCCUGGGCAACUUACUUAACUCCAGUGUGCCUCAGUUUUUCUAUCUGUAACGUGAGCAUGAUGUCACCUACCUAAUAGACAGCUGAGAAGCACAGAAUGACAUAAGCCCUGUAAAGAGCUAAGAACAGUGCUAACCCACUGAACACCACUCAGCCAUAAAAAGAACGAAAUAAUGCCAUUUGCAGGAACAUGGAUGCAACUAGAGAUUCUCAUACUAAGUGAAGUAAGUCAGAGAGACAAAUACCAUAUGAUAUCACUUAUAUCUGGAAUCUAAAAUAUGGCAUAAACUAAUCUAUUUAUAGAACAGAAACAGACUCACAGAUAUGGGGAACAGAUUUGUGGUUGCCAAGUGGAAGCUGGAGGGAGUGGGAUGAACUGGGAGCUUGGGUUUAGUAGAUGCAAACUAUUAUAUUGAGAAUGGGCGAGCAAUGAGGUCUGACUGCGUAGCGCAGCGAACUAUAUCUAAUCACUUCUGAUAGAAUAUGAUAGAAGAUAACAUGAGAAAAAGAAUGUAUAUAUAUAUAUAUAUAUGUAUAACUUGGUUUCUUUGUUGUAUAGCAGAAAUUGACAGAACAUUAUAAAUCAACUAUAAAUUUUUAAAAAAUAAGAAAAUAAAGUGUGACUUCAAACAAACAAACAAAAAACCAGUGUUGACCCAUGGUAAGGAUGCACAAACAUGACCUGUCAUGAUUGUACCUGGACACAUGUUCAUACUAAGUGGAUCCACAGUUAUCAAUACAAAGUAAAAUGCUAUUACUGUUCAGUUUUUAUUUGCAGGGCUAAAUUCAAAGACUCCAAAGCAUGAUUGUUAGAGAUGUAAUGUAAAUGUUAUCCUUUCCAUCAAGCUUUAUGUUUAUCCAGGGUAAAAGCCUACCUGGCAGCAUCUUUAGGAUAAUUAAAUGAAUUACCAAUGACAAAGUGCUUAGCUGCUAUCAUUAUUAUUUUUCCCACUUAUCAAAUACAUAAGAUAAAUAUAGUUACUACUGUACAUAAGCUAAGCUCAUCUAUGUCUGUUAAUAACUAGGUUUGAGUGCAGUGAUGGCUUCUGGAGUUGAAUUGUUUUCAAAUCAAGAAAAAUAAUGGCUAGUAACUCCUGGAACUGCAGAGAAGAGUGAAAGGCUCAAACAGUGCAAGGUGGGUUCAAGAUUAUGCAUAGGGAAUAUGAAAAAAUGUUAAUAAAAAUUAGAAUAGGUAAAUCAAAGAGAUGGUGGAAUCUUCUGAGAAUUGACAUGUACUCAGCUGGCCUGUGUGGUCAUUUCAUGCACUGACCGUAGGCACUGCAGGCAGAACAGCAGUUCCAAAGGAGUGUAUGUCCUAAGGCUCAGAACCUGUGAACAGUUAGAUUAUGCAGCAAAGUGGAGUUAAGGCUGUGAACAGCACUGAGGUUAGUAAUGAGCUGUUUCUUAACAUAGGAGAUUAUUCUGGCGUGAGAAAUCAGCUGGCCACUGCUGUCUUAGAUGGAAGAAGGGACCGUGAGCCAAGGAAUGAGAGCAGCUUCCACAAGGUGAGGAAGCUAAGGAAGGGAUUCUCCAUGACAAUGGAAAGGUAUACAACCCUCCUGAUACUUUUAUUUUAGCCGAAAGAGACCCAUGUCAGACCCCUGACCUCUUGAACUGGAUGACAAUUUGUCUUGUAUUA